rnacentral:rRNA from 1 species
AUUGAACGCUGGCGGCAGGCCUAACACAUGCAAGUCGAGCGGAUGAAGGGAGCUUGCUCCUGGAUUCAGCGGCGGACGGGUGAGUAAUGCCUAGGAAUCUGCCUGGUAGUGGGGGAUAACGUCCGGAAACGGGCGCUAAUACCGCAUACGUCCUGAGGGUGAAAGUGGGGGAUCUUCGGACCUCACGCUAUCAGAUGAGCCUAGGUCGGAUUAGCUAGUUGGUGGGGUAAAGGCCUACCAAGGCGACGAUCCGUAACUGGUCUGAGAGGAUGAUCAGUCACACUGGAACUGAGACGCGGUCCAGACUCCGACGGGAGGCAGCAGUGGGGAAUAUUGGACAAUGUGCGAAAGCCUGAUCCAGCCAUGCCGCGUGUAUGAAGAAGGUCUUCGGAUUGUAAAGCACUUUAAGUUGGGAGGAAGGGCAGUAAGUUAAUACCUUGCUGUUUUGACGUUACCAACAGAGUAAGCACCGGCUAACUUCGU